CCCUUAGAUGUUCUGGGCCGCACGCGCGCUACACUGAUGCAUUCAACGAGUCUACAACCUGGUCUGAUAGGGCUGGGUAAUCUUUUGAAUGUGCAUCGUGAUUGGGAUAGAUGAUUGCAAUUCUUCAUCUUCAACGAGGAAUGCCUAGUAAACGCAAGUCAUCAGCUUGCAUUGAUUACGUCCCUGCCCUUUGUACACACCGCCCGUCGCUCCUACCGAUUGAAUGAUCCGAUGAAUAUCAUGGAUUGAGGAUGCAAGUAGGUUAGCCUAUCUUCAUCUUCGAGAAGUGAAGUAAAUCUUAUCAUUUAGAGGAAGGAGAAGUCGUAACA
rnacentral:rRNA from 1 species